CACUCCUACGGGAGGCAGCAGUGGGGAAUUUUGGACAGUGGGCGAAAGCCUGAUCCAGCAAUGCCGCGUGCAGGAUGAAGGCCUUCGGGUUGUAAACUGCUUUUGUACGGAACGAAAAAGCUCCUUCUAAUACAGGGGGCCCAUGACGGUACCGUAAGAAUAAGCACCGGCUAACUACGUGCCAGCAGCCGCGGUAAUACGUAGGGUGCGAGCGUUAAUCGGAAUUACUGGGCGUAAAGCGUGCGCAGGCGGUUAUGUAAGACAGAUGUGAAAUCCCCGGGCUCAACCUGGGAACUGCAUUUGUGACUGCAUGGCUAGAGUACGGUAGAGGGGGAUGGAAUUCCGCGUGUAGCAGUGAAAUGCGUAGAUAUGCGGAGGAACACCGAUGGCGAAGGCAAUCCCCUGGACCUGUACUGACGCUCAUGCACGAAAGCGUGGGGAGCAAACAGGAUUAGAUACCCUAGUAGUCCC
rnacentral:rRNA from 1 species